CCUACGGGUGGCAGCAGUGAGGAAUAUUGGUCAAUGGGCGAGAGCCUGAACCAGCCAAGUCGCGUGAGGGAAGACGGUCCUAUGGAUUGUAAACCUCUUUUGCCGGGGAGCAAAAAGCGGUACGUGUACCGCAUCGAGAGUACCCGGAGAAAAAGCAUCGGCUAACUCCGUGCCAGCAGCCGCGGUAAUACGGAGGAUGCGAGCGUUAUCCGGAUUUAUUGGGUUUAAAGGGUGCGCAGGCGGCGAGUUAAGUCAGCGGUAAAAUUUCGGGGCUCAACCCCGACAAGCCGUUGAUACUGGCAUCCUUGAGUACAGUAGAGGUAGGCGGAAUUCGUGGUGUAGCGGUGAAAUGCUUAGAUAUCACGAAGAACUCCGAUUGCGAAGGCAGCCUGCUGGACUGUAACUGACGCUGAUGCUCGAAAGUGUGGGUAUCAAACAGGAUUAGAUACCCUGGUAGUC
rnacentral:rRNA from 1 species